rnacentral:rRNA from 1 species
AGCUUGACGGAAGCAAUGCCGCGUGGGUGAUGAAGUUUUUCGGAUCGUAAAGCUUCUGUUUGCCAGGGAAGAACGCUUGGGAGAGUAACUCGCUCUCAAGGUGACGGUACCCGAGAAGAAAGCCCCGGCUAACUACAUGCCACAGCCGCGGUAA